rnacentral:rRNA from 1 species
CCUACGGGAGGCUGCAGUGGGGAAUAUUGGACAAUGGGGGCAACCCUGAUCCAGCCAUGCCGCGUGUGUGAAGAAGGCCCUCGGGUGGUAAAGCACUUUCAGUGAGGAAGAACGCCUGGUGGUUAAUACCCAUCAGGAAAGACAUCACUCACAGAAGAAGCACCGGCUAACUCCGUGCCAGCAGCCGCGGUAAUACGGAGGGUGCGAGCGUUAAUCGGAAUUACUGGGCGUAAAGCGCGCGUAGGUGGCUUGAUAAGCCGGUUGUGAAAGCCCCGGGCUCAACCUGGGAACGGCAUCCGGAACUGUCAAGCUAGAGUGCAGGAGAGGAAGGUAGAAUUCCCGGUGUAGCGGUGAAAUGCGUAGAGAUCGGGAGGAAUACCAGUGGCGAAGGCGGCCUUCUGGACUGACACUGACACUGAGGUGCGAAAGCGUGGGUAGCAAACAGGAUUAGAUACCCCUGUAGUC